CCCUGCCAUUUGUACACACCGCCCGUCGUUGCUACCGAUUGGCUGUGGGAUAAAGCUUGGGGGAGGGAGAAAUCUCGGUUCGCCGGGUGCUUUUCCAAAUCCAAGCAAUAUUGCUCAGCUAGAGGAAG
rnacentral:rRNA from 1 species